AAAGACUCAAUUUCUGGGUUUUGGCGUUCAACGUUUGACCCUCCGUCUUAUAUGAAUUUUUUUUUAUGAUUAGUAUUUUCAUUAUUGUUAGAUGAUAAAACAUAAAUAAUAUUGUAUACAUGACUUAUCUUUUUAAAUUUUUUCAUAACUUUUUUAAAUAAGACGAACGAUCAAACGUUAGACAUGGAAGCCUAGGAAUUGAGUUUUU
rfam:Oryza sativa (indica cultivar-group) chromosome 3, whole genome shotgun sequence.